UCCAGUGUUUCACAUAACUACGAAAACCCAACUGCGACCUACAUAUUUAACAGAGUUUGUGAGUGAUACAGUAAAGUGCCUCAGAAACCUACCUGUAGAGAAGUUAAUUCUGGACAUGGAGACUCAUCAAUAGAUGGAAGAACUGUUCCCAGUUCCAAUCAAGUCCCUGAUAGCAGACCUCAACUAUUUGGAGAGUGGGCUUCUUUGCGAUAGACUACCUAGUCACAGCUGUAACAAUGAGGGUGCAACAUUGUAUCGUGGGCAGUUGAAGGGUUCUAAGGAAGAUCAGAUGAAACCAGACUUAAUAAGUCAAGGACAUUAUAUUCCACCUCAUGUGGCGUCCAGACUUCUUCAGUGGUGCAAUCAGCCUGGCAAUUUUUAUUUCCAUCCAGCCUAUUAAAUAAUUGCUGAACCUAUUCAGGUGAGACAGAAAGUACUGUUACCUCUUUUUUCUUAUGGACCUCCCUACUAUGCACCCUUCACUUGAUGGCAUGGUACAUAGCUUGGACCUCAUCUCUUUGAUCUCAAAGGUUUUCAGGUUUUACUAUGGAUCAUCAGGCCUUACAAGGCAUUCAGAAAUAGAUGGGAUAUAAAUCUAAAGUGAUGUACAUCAAUAGCCUGGCAAACUUUAUGAAGACAAAAAACCCUGGCCUUACAGUUGAAAUAUCACAAUAUUGUCUGGCCAAGCUAGGAGCGAGACUGAACACAAUUUAAGUCUGUCCUUCGGAACUGCACUAAAGAAUUUCUCACUUCAUCAUUGACAUCAGAUGUGGCAUCAACUGUUGCCUGACUUGUUAGCUGCAGGCUUGAACAGAAAAGACGUGCUAUGAGUGCUAGUAGUUACUAAGAUAUUUUCACUGUCUUCUCUCUUAUUUGGUAUGUCACUGAUGUCAUUAACAAUAUACUGACAAUCAUUUAGCUCCUCAUUAAUUAAUAAGACAUUUUCAAUUUCUUCGCCAUUAUCUUCUAUCUCACUGAAAUCAUUAACAAUAGUCUGAUAAUCAUUGAGUUCCUUAUUAGUUAAUAAGACAUUUUCAAAUUCUUCUCUUAUUUUGUAUCUCACUGACAAUAGCAACAUUGGCUUUAUCUGACUUAUCAUAUUCUCAGUACGACUACUCAUGUUAUACGUUCUGUUUUCUACAGUAUUACAAUUUAGAUCACAAUUAUCCAUUUCUACCUCAUAGGGCCCAUCUCCCAGUAUGGACAGUAUUAUUUCAAGUUUUCUUUCCAACUUUUUGUCCCCCACCUCCCUUAUUUGUAUCCUUUCCAUUAGCUUUAUUUCCAUUUCUAGGGUUCAUCUCUCUAAAUCUAGUCUUUGCAGAUGAACAACAAACUCUUUUCAUUCCUCACCCUCAAUUCCCAUCAUCUUAGCCUGUUGUAUUAGUGCAUCAAUCGAACGAGGUUUAAAGUCGCCCAUGCUAACCAAAAUAAGGAAUAUUACUGAAUUUUAAAAUUUAAAUUCACUUAUAGAGGUUAAGUUAAAAGUAACACUGUUUUACUUAUAUCUCACAAGAGAUUAUAAAAAGAUCAAGACAAAAAAAAAUAAUUUCCGGCCUCUAUCUUCAUUACCGACAAGGUAAUGUACGAUUUGACCUGAGAUGCCCGACACAACAGACAACAAAAGAAAACUCAACUUUUCUGUGCUGUCUGAUGCCAGGGAAGAGAUGACAACUCUAUCCACACAACAGUCUCUUUGAGAAAGCAGAAUCUUCUGGGGCGUCAGGUCACCAUUCAUCCUCCGUGUAAGCACCUCAUGAUGCACGGCAGACAUAAAAAAUAAAUUUAAAAAAAAGUUUUUUUAAAUGGCAAAAUAAUAGCAAUAAUAAUGAUGAUGUAGAUAAGGAGGUAAUUACUUGUUACAAAGAUACAAAGUGAUACUCCAAUAAUCUGAUUAGUUUAAUACUUGACACUAUAGUAACUCAAUUAGUUCAGUACUCAAUAUACGGUAUGUAAUUCAAUCAGUUCAGUAAUCCACAAUAUACGGCAUGUACUUCAAUCAGUUCAGUAAUCCACAAUAUACUGUAUGUCCUUGCAAUGUCAAAGUAUACAAGCAAUGAGAAAGUACUCAAAUACUCCAAUAAGUUUGAUGAUUGACAAUAUAUAGAUCUGGUAGUCCAAUCAGUUAAGUAGUCCACAAUAUACGGUAUGUCCUUGCAAUGUCAAAGUACACAAGUAAUGAGAAAGUACUCAAAUAAUCCAAAUAGUUCAAUACUAGAGAUGGGAAUCGAACCCAACUUUUAAAGUUCGGGUUCGGUUCGAUGACGAGUAUAGUUCGGGUUCGGUUCGGUCAGGUCUAAAGUUCGGGUUCGGCUCGGUUCGAUGCUAUGAAAUUAUGUAAUAGCAAAAUUAAGUUAUAAGGUUUAAUGCAAUUUAUUAGUUAAAACUUUUUUAUUUGAAUUUUUACAUGAAACAAAUACUUUGCAACAUAUAAUAGGCCUAUGGGCAAUACUUUUUCAAAAAUAAUGUUGCCUAAAUACAUUUAAAGCGU